ensembl:lncRNA
CAUAAUGGUGGCGUAUUCCCUGCCUUAUCAUUUCUUUCCUGCUUGCAGGCUAGUAUUGUGCCAGAAAUAGAAAAAAGCAGUCACACCCGAUAUAUUGCAUAGAUUAGUUAUUAAGCGAGUUUCAUAAGAAGAUACUCGAUGGUCGGUUGCGUUGUGUGUCUGGCGACACUCUCAAUAGAGGACAUUGAACGAGAUCUACCCAUUCGGAACCAUGAUAACAGAGUUCUGGCUGAUCGGAGCUGGCUUGAACCUGGCUUAUCGAAGAACAAAGAAAGCGGUCCCACAAGGCUGGCUGACAUGACUGACGCAUGUCUUUAUCCUGUUUUCCUUCUCUCACCCCAACCGGUCGCAGCAGAUGGCCCCGCCCCUCCCUGAGCCUGGUUCUGCCAGAGGUUUCUUCCUGUUAAAAGGGAGUUUUUCCUUCCCACUGUCGCCAAAGUGCUUGCUCAUAGGGGGAUUUUCUCCUUAACACUUUGCAUCUUCAUCCACCAACUGCAACCACUCACCUGCCACCUCCGCUGGAGGAUUCGCUGCACGGCCCGCCGGAUGACUUGCUGCAUGAACUGCCGGCGUGAAUAAUUAUCGUCUCACCCAGUUCAUCCAGCAUUUCCACACCACAGCAGGAGCAGCCACGUCAGAGUUGUUCCACAUCACCAUCACUUUUCCCUGCUGAUCCCGCUCCUCCUUCCAGGAGGACGCAACAUCUACACCACUGGCAGUCAUAAGCAGAUGCG